rnacentral:rRNA from 1 species
CCAUUAGUAGUGGCGAACGAACAUGGAAACACAAAAGUAAAAUAAGAAAAUAGAUAUUAUUAUAUCUAAGUGUUAAAUAUUAAAAUCUAUAGUUUUAGUACUGUGAAGGAAUAGGUUAUAAUAUAUAUGGUAAUCUGCCAUCAAAUGGCGUACCUUUUGUAUAAUGAGCUUGCGAGAAAAAGUUUGGCAAACACAGCGUUUUAAAAUAUAUUAACAGUCAGAUUAUCCCGAAACUAAGUGAUCAAUUCUUUAACAGUUUUUAGAACAAACCGUUGGCUGUUGCAAAAGCUUCGGAAGAUUAAAGAAUAGCAGUGAAAUACUAAUCGAACUUAGAAAUAGCUGGUUUUCUAUUAAAAUUUUAUAAGAAAUAGUUACAAUAAAUUUUAGUUUAAUUAUAAUACAACAAAUUAAAAUUAUUAGUAAUAAUUAGGUUAUUAGUGACAAGAUUAAUAGCCAACUAGGAAACAACCUAAAUUAGAAGCUUAAAACACUAACCUACUAAGUGAACAAUAAAGUUAAGUAAUAACAUAAGGUAAAUUGGCUUGGAAACAGCCACUUUAUAAUUAUCACGUAACAGUAAACCUUUAAAACCAAUACUUUCAAAAUUUAGGUGACUAAAUAAAUUUGAAGCUCUAAAUCAUUAAUAGAACGCUCUAUUACAAGUAGCGAAAGCUUUAAUAGAGGAGACAAUGCAAGCAUGACUAAUAAAAACCCUAAAGUUUUAGACAUUAAACAAUUUAUAAAAACAAAACCAAUAUUGUAAAAACUUUCUAAGCAGGAAAUAUUACAAAAUUUUCUAUUGUACUAUCUAACAAAAGAAGGGAACAAAUAAGAAAAAUUCUUAUUAAGGAAUUCGGCAAAAUUUAUUACUAAUAAUUACUAGGAUCGACUGUUUACCAAAAACAUAGCCCCUUAACACCAAUAGGGGGUGCAACCUGCUCAAUGGCUGAAAAUAAUAAUAAUAAUAAAUACAGUUAAAUAGCCGCGGUAACUCUGACCGUGAUAAAGUAGCAUAAUCACUUGUCACCUAAUUAGUGAAUGGUAUGAAUGGUUAAACGAACCCUAAGCUGUCUCAAUAAGAAACCUUAUAAAAUUGAAAUUGUAGUGAAGAUGCUACAUAAAGAUUGCAAGACGAAAAGACCCUAUUGAGCUUUACUGAAUACUUACAACUUCUACAAAUAGUAAAUAUUACAAACAAUAUACUUUGUAAGUAAGACAGUUUGGUUGGGGCGACCACCUCUAAAAAAGUAACAGAGGAAAUCUAAAGGCUAAUAAUAUGAAUACUAGCUUAACUGAAAUAACAAUAAUUUAUACAGGUACAAAAAGUAGGACAUAAUGACCCGUUAUAAUUUAAUGAAAAUUAUAACGAUUAUAGAAAAAGUUACCAUAGGGAUAACAGGGUAAUAUUUUCUAAGAGUUCUAAUCGACGAAAAUGUUUGCCACCUCGAUGUUGAAUUGUGAUAUCCUAGGGGUGCAGCAGCUCCUAAAGGUUGGUCUGUUCGACCAUUAAAAUCAUACAUGAUUUGAGUUCAUUCCGUCGUAAGACAGGAAGGUUUCUAUCUACAAUCUAUAAGGCAAAAUAUAUUUUUUAGUACGAAAGGAAUUAAAAUUAUUAUUUACAUUAAUAAAACAAACCACAUGCUGAUUGAAUAUAAGCAAAAAUAUUUAAGCCCAACAAUUAUAUAAAUUUGA